CUUGGAAAUGUCCUUCGAAGACUGCUGCUUCUCGUCAUUUGAGGCUCAAUCUGAUAUUUAAAAGCAAUAAAGAGCCAUUUGAGGCCAAUCCCAGGGAAUUAGGUCUGAUCUCAGCCCAGCCUCAACCAAAGACACACUCCCAAUGUGGCCCUGGAGCCAGGGAUCUGAGAACAACGUGCAGUGAAUGCUACCCAGUAUGUCUGCUGGAAGAAAAGGAAAAAGUGACUCAGAACAUGGGCAGAUGCUUCAGAGGGCCCAAGUGACAAGUGGGCUCCUGCCUUGUGUUCCAGGGCGACCUCAGUCUCAACUUUGGGCCACAUUUCAACCUC